GCCAAAGCAUGAAGUGAAGAGGAAAGGAAAGAACACAAACCCUAGGUGGGAAAACUGAAGAAAAAGUGUGGGAUUUCAAGGGAUUAAGCUGAUAAAGGUAAAAAUUUUGUGAUUUUAUCUUGUGAUUUACACUAACCAUGCUUUCUUUUUCAUUUUUCAUGCUUAGAACUCAAGUUUGCAUAAUGAACCCAUGCUGGCCAAAUUUGAGAUGAGAAGUUUUUAGCAUUGAUUUUGCUAGAUUUCAAGCUAAUUAAGUGUUUUUGGCUGUUUGGUAAUGGAAAGUAUAAAAAUCUAGCAAUGAAUCACUUUGUUCUUCACAAACCCACAAGAGGCCGAAUUUUCUAGGGAGGAUAUUGAGGCUGAAAUUAAUGAUAUUUCAUGAUAAAUUGGGGGUAUUUAAUGAUUGGUGAGGCUAGAAAUUUAAUGAAAAAUUUUAGCAUGAAAAUCUAAAUUUUUACCUAAUGUAUAGACAUGUGCGAUUUAUGGUUCGGACCGAUAAAUUGAAUCAUAUUCACAGUCAUUGAGGUAUUUUAAGUAUAAUUGGAGUGUAAAAAGUGAAAGAAAUCAAUUUGGAGUUAAAUUGAAGGUUUUAGCCAAUUACACCGAAAAUAGUACGAAUUAGGUCGAAUACCGUAUUUAAACGGCUAUUCAGACAUUUUGCAUCACAUUUCAUGCAUUCAUAUAGAUUUAUAGAGCCUGAAAUAGUUUACGAUAAAUUGACACAAUUUAUUAAAAUUCGUGUCACGGAUGAUGUAUAGGUGGUAAGCCCUCUAACAAGGGUAAAGAGAUUGUGCCCCGAAGACUGGGAAUAGGAGUAUAUCGAACUCCUAGUACAGUGAGUAACCUUACUAUCGUCUUAAUUAUCUAAAGUGAUUUUUAUCCAAUUUUGUGAUUUUAUGAAAAAUGAGUUAAAUGGUAAAUCCUUAUGUUUUGUAAUUAAAAUGUGAUUUAAUAAAAUGAUUUUGUAAAUUGUCUUGAAAUGAAAUGAUGGUUUGGAAAAUAGAGUAAUUGAAGACUGUUUUCAUAUGUUGUAAAUUCAUGGUUUAAAUUGAAUGACUUAUGACAAUAUUGGCAUGAAUGGCUAAAUUGGUAUUUGUGUUGAAAUGUAUAAAUUAUUGUUUGCCUUGAGAGGCUGUAAAAUAAAAUAAUUGUCAUGUUAUUGCAAAAUUUUAUUAUAUGGUGGGUUUAGCUAGCUGCAGUGGGCUGGUUCUAUGGACUAGCCUAUUAGAGGGGCACGAAACCUGGUCAUAUUCAUACCUCAAUAUGAGAGGCGCGGAUGGAUAACUCCUGAGGUUAACACUUUAAAGUUCGCUUCACGCCAAACCACCACGUGAGGGUGAACUCGACCAACGCCAAGGAACGGCUAUGUUUUCAAAAUAGAAACAUGAUUUUAUGCGUACAUAACUUUUUAACAGCCUUGGCGGACUCGAUUGGGAUAGCCCUCGGCUAAGGUAUCCCUGAUAACUAAGUAUGAGAAAGAUUUUUGGCACAAGCCAAGCUUUUCAGGAAAUCAUAAGCCUAGUUGUUUAUUUGGUUGAAAUGAGUUGAAAGGUAAUGAAAUUAUAGUAUGAUGACUUAUUUUAAUUGUCUCCAUUUACUCAACUUUAGAUGGUUUAGAUGGUAUCUGUUUACUCACUGGAAUUUUAUAAUCUCACCACCCUCCUUUUCAACCAUUUCAGGCCUGAGGUAGCCUGUGGAUAGUAGAUAUCGUCAAGGAUUAUAGUCGGCUUUACUACUCCAAAAACUGUAGGUUUACUGUCUUUGUGCACUUUUGUUGCUUGUGGGCCCACGAGUCACUAUAAAGUAAAUUUUAUAUCCCGGUUAUCUGUAUUAUAGUAUGAAUGAAUUUAUUUAGCUUUUACAUUACAAAAAUUAUUUACCAAUGACUCUAUAAAUAUUGUUUUACAAGAAGUUAGAAUUUUUUAUUGAAUAUUUUUAUUUUAUUCAAAUAGUUGCAAUAUCAUUUUUAAUAAAUGUUUUAGACACCCAAAUUUAUUCUAAAUCAUGAAAUAUGUGUUUU
rnacentral:lncRNA from 1 species